UCCUCGUUAGUAUAGUGGACAGUAUCUCUGCUUGUCACGCAGAAGACCAGGGUUCGAUUCCCUGAUGGUGAG
rnacentral:tRNA from 1 species